UAGUGAUUAAUUGUGUUACUCUGGCUGCUGACUGAAUAUUCACCUUUUUUGCUUUCUCCCUUCACAGUUUACCAUUCUACUGUAUUCAACAAAGCAGUUCACUCCAAGUAAGAGUCAUUCCUGUUUGUAAGCCUAGCAGAAGGCCUGCAUAGUACAGGCAUACAGUCCAUAAAUACCCACUGUUAAUUGUUCCAAUGAGUUGAAGGAGAGUCAGCAAAUACCCAUGGGAAAACACGGGGCAGCAUUAAACAGCAACAGAGUUCACUGGGAAAAAGAAAUUAGAUUGCAGUUUAGAAAGGGAGCUGCAGAAUGGCCUGCUGGGUGAGGAACUCUUUGCAGGGAGAUGUGGCUGUACUAGCUUUCCUGAGGGCUGCUGAAGGACUAGGCUGAAAUUAUGGAUACAAGAAUCAGCUCCAUUCACUUGCCCCAUGAGCUGCUCAGGAAAGCAUGAUGUCCUUUACCAGAGAGAGGUGGAGCAGUCUGGGAAUGAAAGAUGAAUUAAUACAAGGAUUUCCCCAGGCCAAACGAUGGGUUCCCAAGGAAACUCCACCAUGUGACCAUGUGAGAAGCCUCCUGGGAUAUACAUGGCGUAUGCAGUCUAAUAUCUU